rnacentral:lncRNA from 1 species
UCAGGAUUGAUCAAGUAAAACAACAAGCUUUGUGCAGAAAAAAAUCCCACUCAAUUCCCCACCUAAGCACUUAAUUUGUUACAUGUUAUUCCUUCUAAACUUUGUCUUAGUAAAGUCUCAACAAUUACCAUUUGUAUUAUUUUGAGACUAAAGGCAUCAGCUCUUCCUCACCAUUCAUUCUGGAAAAGUGGUGAGACAAGGCACCAGAGGAGAUCCAAAUUUCUUCAUUUAACCAUACAGCUAAAGGAUGAAGUAAAACAAAAUCAUAUUAAGCAAUAUUUACAGAAGGUGAUAUGUCACUGCCUUGUAAUUGUCUUGAGAUGACUGCUGUCUUUUAUCAUAUUAAACUUAUUAUUGUAUUUAGAUGCAAGAUCAGCAUAUCCUGACAGAAAGGGAAAUGAAAGAUGGAAACAUGUUAACUACUGCUUGUAAUAGUAGAAGUUUCAAGGGAAGAACAGAGUCGACAAAGGUUUGUGACUCAUUGUUUAUUUUUGAUAUGGCAACCGUAAUGUACCUAGGUGCUUUGGAAACGGGAAG